rnacentral:rRNA from 1 species
AGUGAACGCUGGCGGCAGGCCUAAUACAUGCAAGUCGAACGGCAGCACAGCAGAGCUUGCUCUGUGGGUGGCGAGUGGCGGACGGGUGAGGAAUACAUGGGAAUCUGCCCAGUCGUGGGGGAUAACGUAGGGAAACUUACGCUAAUACCGCAUGCGCCCUUCGGGGGAAAGCCGGGGACCUUCGGGCCUGGCGCGAUUGGAUGAGCCCAUGUCGGAUUAGCUAGUUGGCGGGGUAAUGGCCCACCAAGGCGACGAUCCGUAGCUGGUCUGAGAGGAUGAUCAGCCACACUGGAACUGGGACACGGUCGAGACUCCUACGGGAGUCAGCAGUAGGGAAUAGUGGACAAUGGGCGCAAGCCUGAUCCAGCCAUGCCGCGUGAGUGAAGAAGGCCCUCGGGUUGUAAAGCUCUUUUGUCCGGAAAGAAAAGCAUCCAGUUAAUACCUGGGUGUCCUGACGGUACCGGAAGAAUAAGCACCGGCUAACUUCGUGCCAGCCGCCGCGGUAAUAC